GGCAAAGCACCAUCACAGGCCAAUGCUCUAAUAUUCAGUACACAUCCAUUGAUGGAAAGAGAACUUACCAAAAAAGUCAAGUUUAGUGCCUUGAAAGUAGAUUGAGUUUAUUUUCUUAAUACAUAGUUUCUAAAAAUAUAACUGUGCUAUCUUGGAUCAAAUAAUAAAAUAUGAAUUAAGGGUCCAAACAGAAUCAUUUUUAUAGAUACAACCUUUUAAUGUAACUUUUGAAUUAUAGAACCCCACUUUGAAAGCAAACUGAUGUAUCCUUAUAGAGUAGCAAAUAUAAGUCUCAGUGGCAGGAGUAUAUUGUUUAAAGACUUUCUAAACUGUUCCCUAGAUGAUGUCAUUCACCAGUAAACUAAUGUUUUCAAACGGAGUUAUGUCAAAACUUUUCCCUUUUAAAUAUAAUGAAAUAACAGUGUGCUAUUACAUUUAGAUGCCAUUUUAUAGCUCCAUUUCAUUUGCUAAGAGAUGAAAGAUAAGAUCUAAAUUCACAUACAAGUUUCUGACUUUAAUAUCAUAAAACAUUCUAACCUAGGUGUGAAGGUCUAAAUGUAUUGUUUGUCAUAGACUUUGUUUAAAUUGGAAAACAUUCUCAUUUUUAUGAGCGCAGUUUUUGAUGUAUGCAAGUAAAUGUACAUUAAAUUAAAUAUUGCUUGUGAGAAUAUAAAGAUCAAAACAAAAAGAAAGGGAUAGGGAAACACAUUCCAGAACAUUUAUACAGUUGUAGUAGAUAAACAGCAAUUGAGAUUUUUACUAUUCUUUUUUAUUUAUACACAAAUAAUCAAGAAGAAUUUACCAACAGAAACGGUCAUCAAGCAAUCAAUGCUUCAGACUAAGAAAUUUGAAUGGACAGAAUUUGAACUCAGAACAUAAAGGGAUGUAACUAAAUACCACAAAUCCUUUUGUCAUCCACCACUCUGCGAUAAUAAUGACUUGUUAACUUGAAUGAGAACAAACAUGGAAGGAAGCUUUUGUGUUCGUAAACACAGUGAAUUUUUAAUACUCAAGAGAAUUUAGCACUAUACCACUAACUUGUUUCAGUAUUAAACUACAAAUGUGUUUGCAUAAGACAA